rnacentral:rRNA from 1 species
UACGUAGGGUGCAAGCGUUGUCCGGAAUUAUUGGGCGUAAAGAGCUCGUAGGCGGUUCGUCGCGUCGGCUGUGAAAUCCCGAGGCUCAACCUCGGGUCUGCAGUCGAUACGGGCGGACUGGAGUUCGGCAGGGGAGACUGGAAUUCCUGGUGUAGCGGUGAAAUGCGCAGAUAUCAGGAGGAACACCGGUGGCGAAGGCGGGUCUCUAGUACGGUACUGACGCUGAGACGCGAAAGCGUGGGGAGCGAACAGG